CUCAGAAUCCCCAAACCUAAAAUGUGGUAAGACUCUGGCCAGAAGAGCCCUUUGGAGAACAACAUUAUGGGAAUAUUGGCAGUGCUUUGAAGUCACCUGGGCCAAGCCCCUGCUCCCACCUCCUCUCCAGAAACGAUGCUUCCAAAGGAUCAUACAGCAGCUCCCAGGAAUUCACACAGCUUGCUCAACCAAGAUAAUCGGAUCCAGCUAAAACCACAUGAAGAAAUUUGUCUUUGCUCGGGCAUAUAAGUGUAGCCUUGAAAAUUAGCAGGACAACUUCCCAGACCAGAACAGCACGGACAACGACCACAAAUUACCAGCUUGCUUUCCCUCAGCGGAGAGAGACAGAGGAGGAGUAAAAUUUGCACGAGAUCAACGUUCUCAUCUUCCUCCUGCCACUUCUACCCCAAGAGGCCUCUGCGUACUCCUAGCAGAGCAGGAGUUGACCCUCGUAGAAGAACUGCGGUGGCGGGCAGUGUCAUUUCUCACUUUCUUUCUUGCUAACAGACUCUGAUUCUGUGGAGGGUAUUCACACCCCUCCGGGCAGCCUUAUGCCUCAGGGGAAGUGAGUUGCAUCCCCAAGCCCAGGGAAGUAUCUGGAGGAGCCUAGGUGUUUGUUUUAGUCCCAAUUUCUUUAUGGGUGACUGGCUUAAGAAUAAACAGAUGACGUAAUUCUGGCCAAUGAGACAGGAGGGAAAGGCUGCUGGGGAACUUGGGAAAAGGUUUUCUCAAUUUCAGUCAACCCACAAGAAGAGACAAUUCUGUGCUGUCCCUGGGCCAUGUCUUUGGUUGUGAUGCCUGGAGCUCCUGCAACCAUUCCGUAAUCAUGAGGGGAGCCAGCCUGGUGGUAAAGCCAAACACAGAAAGGCAGAGGCAAGAGAAUCUCAGAAAAACAGAACUAGAGUCCUAAUGUACUUAACCAGGAGCCUUCCCUACCUAUUUACUUGAGUUAUGUGAUGACCAACUGCCUUCUUGUUUAAGCCCGAGUCAGGAUUGCCUAGUACUUUCAGCCAAAAGAUCUGAACUGAUACGAUCAGUGUCCAAAAUAUGAGAUAUGUGCACAAAUAUAAACAAGACCCAUAAACAUGUACAUUUGUGUCUAAAAGUCCCACGUGUAGGUCUGCUGAGGAAGAAUGAAGGGGCUGUGCACUUAUGUAUAAGAACAAGGAAAAAGGAGGCCACUUGAGUGGCCAGGCAUUAAAGCCCUAACUGUACAAAAGGUACCAUAUGGGCACAGACGUACAAGUAACUCAAGUGAUACACUUGGGCAGGUAUAUGGGAGAGCAGGGGCACUGCAGUUUCAACAAAAUAAUGUUUCCUGACAAGGGGGAAGGGCAAACAAAGACUAUAAAACCAACACAAGAAUCUCAGCAUGAAUCUCUCUGCCAUCCCCUAGUUGCACCCACGGCUUUGCAGUCUCAUAAACCCAAAAGGAAAUUGGCCUGAGCUCUCUGCUCAUCUGCAUUGAUCGUUUCCUGACAACCAACAUAUUACAGUCUUGACUCCCAAGAGCAUCUCUGUGGCUGCGGAUCUGGGUGAUAAACUGCGAUUUCUUAGAGCUGGGGGAAAGAAAUCAUUGGAGGGAAAUAUUCUUAUCUUUUCAGAAAUAACUUCAAGCUUUGCAAACCUCUAUUUUUGACACCAUCAAUCUGGUUUCCUCCAACAGCAUAUUUGAGGCAGGAAUUGUAACUAUCGUUGUAAGAAUGUCGUUGUCAAGGCAAGGAUGGUCAUGUAUAUACCACUUAGGCAAGUUGACAGAGCCCUUUCAAAUUCUCAUGCCACGUCAUCUCAAAAAAUACCAGCUAAGGUGGUCACAUUUUCUUAUCUCAAGUUUAGAGAUGGUGGAUGCCUUGCCCACAGUCACGUGGCUGCUGAGUCAGUAGGCUGGGACCAGGGUCUAGGACCACCCACACUCAUCUUACGUUCUUUUCUAAUGAAAAGGGAUCCCCUUCUUGAAAUAAAGAGGUGCUUUGACCUUCCACCCAAUGGUUUGGAAACAGUGGCUUGGGGGCAGCAGCUUGCAUCUUGGAUUGUGCAUUUCUCCUUAGAGACAGCUCCCUGAGAUUCCAACCCUAAGUGGCAGAUCUGCCUGGAAACAAGGAAUGCAGUGAAAUUUGGCCAUGACCAGCAUCUCUGGAUCUGGGGGUUUAGGGAGUGUUAGAGGCACCUGCAAGAGCUUCUAGGCAGAGAAUAACCAACAAAGACCCCUGAUCCACUUGCAUGAAGGGCACUUAGUGCUCUGCCAGAAAUCCUGAAGAAUGCCACCACCCCGACUCGGGGCAUUCCCAUGGAACUCAUCCACUUCCUGUCCCUCCCAGAUGCUUGGGAAGAAAUGGGACAGAGCACGUGCCAAACAGGUUCAGGCCCAUCUGGGCACUCUGUCACAUGAGUUAUCACAUCUGCUGGGGAGGCAAAAACAGAACCCCAAACCCCCGGAACAGUCCAGAAUGCGAUCCACUGAACAUCUGCGUCCACAGAGAGAUGCUAACAAGUGUACCUCAAAAAUCAAGUUUUGGGGGGGAUCCAAUAAAUUUGGGAAAUGCUGCAGACCCAGGUGUUCUCCUACAAAAUUGCAAUGACCUUUACCAUUAGAAGCUCUCAGAAUCCCACAGUAAAACAAAAAACGUAUUCAAUCCAGGUUUUCCCAAACUUAUUUGACCCUGGAACUUUUUUUUCUGAAAAACUCCCAGAGCACCAUUUGGGAAAUCCUGCGUUAAAGGCAGCUGGGGAGAAGACAGAAGGGCAGUUGCACUCAGGGUUUCUUGGCUAAGAGGUUCCGUGCUCCCCACCACAGCUGGUAAAUCGGCCCUGGCAGUUCCUCUUCCAGAAAAGACAGGGUCCGUGGCUGAUUGGCUCAGAAGAGGAGGAAGAGACAAGCCACUCCCUCCCUCCUGAUGUAGGAACCACUGGUCCCAGCUAAAGGGACACAGUUCACAGACCUACUAGUUCCAGCUUUGGUCAUCUUUGUGGACGUCCUCGCCUUUUAGGCUGGUAUGGUAAGGGGAGUGCAUCAAGCAAUUGCCCUGAGGAAAGAGAGUGAGGACGGGACCUCCAAACAGCUGCAAUGUAGCCAAAGAGAGGUAAAGAAGGGUUGGUCCUUCACCCUAUCCCAGGGCCCACGUCAGAGUGCCCAGCACUUAAUAAGAGCUCAAUGGAUGUUUGUUGACUGACUGAGGAAUAAAGGAGAAAAGGGGGUUGGAGGGAACCAACACAGAUGGGGUAUCAACAGCCCAAUGAGAAUGACGUGCUGUGAGGGACCCCAGGACAGAGCUGCCGGCUCAGCCAGGGAGGACGAGUGACAGGCCUAAGAAAGCAGGAUGUAGAGGUGACCAGCCAGGAGAGGCUGAAGGUUGAACGCACACGCAUGGUUCAAAGUGUAGAGACUCACGUGGAAAACAGAGUCCUGAAGGCCUGAAAGGAGGUCCGAAAGACCAGGGCCAGCUUGAAAAUGACACAUGGGGAAAGAGAAGGCAUUAGCAAGGUUUCUGGGAAACCAAAACAGAAAAGGGUUCGGAUGCCCAAAGAGGUGAGGGUCACUGGGGGCUCCGGGUGGGCACCAUAGAGAGUCACUGUGACAAAAUGCUUUUGAGACGCUGUGAAGGCAUGAGCACGCUGGUCAGAAAAUCUAGGCGCCAGUUCUGUAGUCAAUGUGGCAAUUGGCCUCAGACCAAUGACAAGUUAGAAGUGAAGUAUGCUCACUAUAGGCCAAAUAACUAUCUGAUGAGAAUUACACCAUCAUCAGUUGCUGGUAUAGUUUAGAGCAGAAGACAUAUAGAAGCACACACUUGUGUGUACACACACAUACAUAGACACACUCGAGAAAGCACACAGAGUAGGUGGGUGUGCACUGACAAGUCCAAGAGACCCUGGGGCAGGACCUGAGCAGUGGAGGCUAGUCUAAUAUGAAAUGAAAAGAACCUAAUCUGCCUUGGUACUGCCACCUGGAAGACAGUUUGGCUGUUUCUUACAAAGCUAAACAUCCUCUUACCAUACGAUGCAGCAAUCACGCACCUAGGCAUUUAUGCAAAUGAGUUGAAAACUUAUGUCCAUGCAAAACCUGCACACAAAUGUUUAUAGCAGCUUUAUUCAUAAUUGCCCAAACUAGAAUGCAACUAAGAUGUCUACUGUAGGUUGAGUUGUGUCCACCCACACCCCCCACCCUGCAAAAAACAGGUUGAAUUCCUAAUCCCAGUACCUUAGAAUGUGACCUUAUUUGGAAACAGGGUCAUUGCAGAUGUAAUUAGUUAAGUCAAGAUGAAGUCAUACUGGAAAAGGAUGGGCCCCUAAUCCAAUACGGCUGGUGUUCUUGUAAGAAGAAGGCCUUGUGAAGACAGACACACAGGGAGGAUGCCAUGUGAGGACAGAAGGUUGGAGUGAUGCAGUGGCAAGCCAAGGGAUACCAGCAAACCACCAAAAGCUGAGAACAGGGAAGAAGGAUUCCCCUACAGGUUGCAGAGGGAGCAGAGUCCCCUGAGACCUUGAUUUUAGGCUUCCAGCCUUCAGAACGACGAGACAAUACAUUUCUAUUGUUUGAAAUCACACAGUUUGUGGUACUUUGCCACAGCAGCCCUUAGACACUGAUACAAUGUCCUUCAAUAGCUGAAUAGAUAAACUGUGGUAGAGCCAUACGAUGAAGUAUUAUUCAGUGAUGAAAAGAAAUAAGCAAUCAAGCCACAAAAAGACAUGGAAGAACCUUAAAAUGCACAUUGCUAAGUGAAAGAAGCCAAUCUGAGAAGGUUACAUACUGUAUGAUUCCAGCUAUAACGACAUUCUGGAAAAGGCAAAACUAUGAAGACAGUAAAAAAGAUUAAUGGUUGCCAGGGGCUGGGGAGGGGAAAUGAAUCUUGGACCACAGGAGAGUUUUAGGGUAGUGAACCUAUUGUGUGCGAUACUUAAGUGAUGGAUACAUGACACGAUGCUCUUGUAAAACCCAUAGAACUGUACAACACGAAGAGUGAACCCUGCUGUAAACGAUGGACUUUAGUUAAUGAUAAUAUAUCAAUAUUUGUUCUUCAAUUGUAACAAAUGUACCACACUAAUUCCAGAUGUUAAUAAUAGGGGAGAUUUUGGUGGGGGAAGUGUGAGGGGGUAAAUGGGAACACUCUGUACUUCCUGCUUAACUGUUCUGUAAACCUAAACCUGCUCUAAAAAAUUUUUAAAAAUUAAGAAACUGACUUAUCCCCAGGGCCAAGUAUUUCCUUAUCUGAAGGCAACCAUGGUCCCUUGGGAACUUGAUUUUGGGGAAGAAUUCAGAAAGGAGGGUAAGUCCCAACAGCCAGACCAAGGCUGACCCAGCUUCAUGACUACAGGGACCUUCAGCCAAGGUUCUCUUCCCCAUAGGGCUGUCCUUAUCCUGGAAACAGGGAGAACAUCGAACCUCCACAAUACAGCAUUCCUCAAAAGCCAGCUUCCCUGAGUCCAGGAGGUGGAGAGUAAAUGCUUGUGGACCACUGGAAUCCUAGGCAAUGUGAUCUGACAGGGAAAGGAUGCAUCCUGGAGUCAGUAGGUCUGGGUUUUCACCUCAGGCUCUCUCUUAACAGCUGUAUGAUCUGGGACAAGUCCUUUAAGCUCACUGAACCUCAGUUUCUUUAUCUAUAAAAUGGGUAUAUCAGCCUCUCCCUCAGAGAGUGGGCGAAAGAUUGCAUGAGGUAAAAAAUGGAAAGCCAAGCCCAGGGCUUGGUCCAGAGGAGGCUGUUGAUGCAGAUCAACGACCUUUCCCUCGGUCUGUGACAUCUCUCGAGAGCCUGCGCCUGGAAUGAAGACACACUCACCAAGCGUCAUCUGACACACGGUUGGUUGGUAUCUUCUUCAACCCUAGUCCCAUGCUGUGUUUCCACAGACAAUGAAGACUGGUAACACAGGGGACUUCCCUGGUGGUCCAGUGGUAAAGAAUCCGCCUUCCAACGCAGGGGAUGCAGGUUCGAUCCCUGGUCGGGGAACUAAGAUCCCACAUGUCGCGGGGCAACUAAGCCCGAGCGCCACAACUACUGAGCUCGCGCGCCUCAACGAGAGAAGAAAAAACCUGCACGCCACAACUAGAGAGAAGCCCGUGCGCCGCAACUAGAGAAAAGCCCACGUGCCGCAAUGAAAGAUCCCACGUGCUGCAACUAAGACCAGAUGCAUCCAGAAAUAAAAAUAAAUAAGUAAAUAAAUAAAGGAAAAAUUAAAAACAAACAAACAAAAAAGACUGGUGACACAUAAGAGCUACUUCUUGGAAUAAGUUCAAAGUCAGGUUUGGGAAACAGGACCCACAUCUUUGAGAAGGGACAGGAUGACCUAAGAUUUGACUCAAAAUCAUGCAAGACUACUGUGCAUGGCUUUUCCUCUAAGCCAUGGGGAAAGGUCACUUUUCAAUAGGAUGGGCCUAGGAAGAACUCACAGGUGGUUGGAAGUGAGCCAGAUGCCCAGUGAUGAGUAGGUACAGGAAGGAAGAAAAGGGAGUGAGGGUAUGCGGGGAGGGAGAUGGGCAUUUCAAGCAGGAAUUACACUGUGGUAACAGUCGUCGGAGUUGUGAGCUUGGAGGGAGACCUGGAAAGAAGUGACUAGGGGGGGAGGCUGGUGAAUCAGCAGCAGAAAGGAGCAAGGCGAAGACACGAGGCCCCAGGAGUGGCCCCAAGGGGGCAGAGGGUCCCAUCCUGCAUCUUGGAGAUCAGCCCGGGUGGCAGUAAGUCUCUGAGGGUAGGGACCAUGCAUGCCUUGUUCCCCAUUGUUUCCAGAGCCAAAAAGAAGGCCUGACACAAACCCUCAAUGAAUAUUUAUUGAAUAGAUGAAAGGGAGAAAAGUCAGCACUGCGUGAAUGACUCAGAUGCUAAUGAAGAGGAGGGGCCCAAAGGAAUAUGCUCAAGUUUUACCAAGAGAACUCGGGGGUUCCUGGGGAAACAGAGCUACCAGGCAGGGAACGUGAAGAGGUAUAGUGCUGAGUGGAAGGGGACAAUGUCUGAAAGGGGAGGUGAGAGCAAAGGAUGGCUGGCCAGGGUCAGGGAGAGUCCCUGACUACAGGCCCACCAGGAGGGGAGAGGUCAUAGGGAGGGGUGGGGAGCUGGGAACGCUGACGCUGGGAAGAUGCACCCCUUCUGAGACAGAAACAACCUGAGAAUAAAGGCAGACAGCCUGGCCUGGGGACAGAGGGCAGGAGGGGAGGGUGACACGGGUUAGCACCCCCAGCUGGCCUCUGCUCUCUCAACCAAGAGGCAAAGUUGUCCUCUGAGAAUGGUUUUGGGAAAAGGGGAUGAACAGAGAACCCCAGGGCCUUGAACAGAGCCAAGCAGCCUUCCAACCGAGCAACGGGCAAGAGCCAAAGCAUGACUCCUAACACAGCCGCCUGCAGCCCGGCCCAGCACAGGCACCACAACUGCAGCCCAGCGCAGUCACAAGGGGGACAAAAGUCACCUAGUGCCCAACGUGGCUACAAAUAGCUUGAAACUUCUCCCCAGUGACCCAGCUAGACCGGCCCCUUGCUGUCUCAUUCAGAAGGACCUAGCCUCAAAUUGGCUGUGUGACAUGGAGGGCUGUACCGGUUUCCUGAUGCUUUUGAGCAUCAGGGGGCUUUAAAUAAAUAAUGAGGGUGGCCUCACUAGACUGCAGAUUCUAUAUCCAACCCCGAAGAGCAGCGUCUUUAUUCAGCUCUUCCAGCACCCCUGGAAAGGCCGAAUAAAUUUAGAAUAAAGACAAUGCCAAAUGCAGAGCACUCGGGCACAUGGGUGAGGGGCUGCAAGCAUCUGAUAAUGGAUGGUACCAGGUGAGCUCUAAACAUCCUUGCAGCCCUGACACACUAUGAAAAAUGCUAUGGACCAGACUGAAGACAGAUAGAAAGUGAGAAACCAGGAGAGGAGCAGCGUCUUAAUCACUCCAGCCAGAAAGGUCCCACCACUUAUGAUAAACACGUGUGUAAAGAAAGAAAAACACUUCUGUGCUAAAUCCAUCACCGGAGGACGUGCGGAAAUGACCCCUAAAUUCAGGUAGCUAAUGUCCCUGCGAUUUCUCCCCACAGUCCGCGUUGUUAAAUGGGACGAGGAAGGGACUCAGAUGGGAGACCUCCCCCGCAGGGCCCCAAGAUAUGAGCAUUUCUCCUCCCUUAAUCCCUUGCUUCUUGCCGUCCCCCCUCCCCAAAGGAGUGACCCCAGCCCUGUCUGCAGCAUCAUAAACGUUCACUGCUUAUUUAUCCGCCAAGGCGCAUGUGGUUUUAAUUAUUUAUGAUAGUGUUUCAUCGCACAUGGGGAUGUGUCUUGGAGUCCCUUCCCUUGACUGAUGAGGCCUUUGUAAUCAGAGACCUGCUGCUUCCCAGCCGGUAAAUCUCAGCGAGGAGAGGGCCAGGCGCUCCCUUCCAGGACUGUGUGAGUCAGCCAUGGAUUCACAGAGGGAGGAUUAGCCAAAUCCGGUUACAAGGCUCCUGCACGUUGUUUGUCCUUUUGCCACACAUGUUUUCUGAAAACAAUUAAGAGCCAUCCGCUGUCUACUGACAGGACAAAACGUACCGCUUCCCUGAAAAGGGCAUCUUCCCUAAUAUCAGAGGGUUUGGAUAAGCUGGAUUCAUCCGGGGAUUUUGCUCUGAUGAGGUCUUGUUUGUUCCCUACUCCCUCAAGUCUUGUCACUAAACCUGCUUCCUCUCUGUCUCCACCGAUCCCUUCCUGUGUACACAGAAGUGCUGUCUGGACGUAGAAAGGCCGUCUGCUUUGAGUCACAAACACAAGGAGCUGUGGAGACGCUUCUCCCCUGCACCAUUUCCCAGGGCGACAGCUCCUUGGCUGGGUGCUGGGUCCUGACAUCAAAGGACACUCAGAACCCACCGGUCUCUCCACGGUGCCCACUCAUUCUGAUGGCCCAGAGGGAUCUUCCUCCUCACAUGCCACAUUCGCCCCAUCUGGAAACUAUGCCACCACCUGGUAUCAGGAGCCCAUGGGACCCUACUCUAUCCCUUGUAGCUUCCACUACAGGGAACAAAGCCCAUCCUCGU